rnacentral:rRNA from 1 species
GAUGAACGCUAGCAGCAGGCCUAAUACAUGCAAGUCGAGGGGCAGCGGGAGUAGCAAUACUUGCCGGCGACCGGCGCACGGGUGCGUAACACGUAUACAAUCUACCUUUAACAGGGGGAUAGCCCGGAGAAAUCCGGAUUAAUACCCCAUAACAAAUUGAAUGGCAUCAUUUGAUUUUGAAAGCUUCGGUGGUUAGAGAUGAGUAUGCGCCUGAUUAGUUAGNGGUGAGGUAACGGCUCACCAAGACCACGAUCAGUAGGGGAUCUGAGAGGAUUAACCCCCACACGGAUACUGAGACACGGAUCCGACUCCUACGGGAGGCAGCAGUAAGGAAUAUUGGACAAUGCCCGCAAGGGUGAUCCAGCCAUGCCGCGUGCAGGAAGACGGCCC